GCGUGUGCGCAACAUUGACGAUGACACAGUGGGGUCCACUGCUAUGGGAAGUCGGCUGCUAAAGCCUCCGCGUCCAGCCCACAAAGGACUGAAGCCAUUGUCCAGAGCGUGCCGUCAGAAGUUGCUCCUUCGGAGAGCGGACCCGGAUCAGGCUGUCAUGGGCAAAGCAGAGCGGUGUUGCCCGGGGCUUGUACCGCUAAAGCCAUGGGCGAAGUGGAGGCGGUGUUGUCUGGGGCCGUACCGCUGAAGCCAUGGUCGAAGCGGACCUGAGAGGUCCAGGGCGGAUAUAGCUGAGGCCGCAGAGCCGCCCGUGAAGCCAUUCGAGAUGAGGCUCAUCGACCCCUUCUCUCUUCAGCAUCUUCGCUAGAGUUUGUUGUCGCUACCUCGAAGCCCGGUAUCAGGGGGAGAGGAAGGGAGUCCUUCACAUUGGUAAUUCAUGAACUUUGCCUUUUCCUAGCUUUCUCAAGCACCGCCGAACUAAUCAUCUUCUUUUAAGCCUCAUCCUAAUAUCUCUCUCCUCCAGACUCGAG
rnacentral:rRNA from 1 species